ACCAGCGAACAGAAUAUGCCUGGGAUAAGCUAACUACAGAAUGGCAGUUGAUUGAACAGACGUACAUAGAUCACUACUCCACAGAAGAUAAGAUAACAGUCACUGGAACAGACGUCAGCAGUUGUUUCUUGGAAGUGCUCCUCGGCAGUAGUUUUGGGAAAAAGGACUAAGGCAUUUACUUGACUUUAAGUGUAUAUAAGAGAUUGUAAAACACUGUAUCUUUGGGUAGCUGCUCGGGGAGUACUGAGUGUAUUGGUAUACUCUCUGUACUGGUCCCCACCACUCGCGUCAUGACGAAUUGAGUAAAGAUUGGCUUGGUUUACCUUUAACCCUUUGUGUUGUUGUCUGUUUCAAGUAGUGAACUUUAUCAUUGGCAUAGUCGGCAGGAUUUUGCUGGGACCAUCAACAGACGACUGAGUGAGAGGCUGCAGUUUGACUGGGAUUGGAUGGGGAGAAAAAAGUGCACUAGUCGGACCCCUUGAGCCCGACCUCCCGUAGAAGCUCCCGGGAAAAUUCAGGUCCCUCAUCAGAUGAUUGAUCUGGUUCCCUGCCGAAAUCCUUAGAAGCAGAUAAUGAAGAAUGCAAAUGAGCAGCCAAGUUUCCUGUCUCCAGGCAAGUAAUUGUGUGGAAGCUUGAAGCAUGUGCUGUGUGAAAGACAAAUGAAGGUCCGUGCAGUAUUGUGCUAGCUAGUUGAUUACAUCAGACCAUAGCUUACAAAAGGAGGUUUGAAAUAACUCACUAUGGGGGGGACAAAGUGAGAGAUAAAGUAGAUUGAGGAGGAGAAACAUAUUUGGACAAUUGAAGACAAAAAUACCAACUAACCCUGACCUCCUUCACAGCACUGGGAUUCUCAUAUUUGACUACACUCUACCAUUUGUGCUAUGAUAAUGGAUGAAGGGUACAAAAAGUGGUGGUAACAGACCAUGAAGACAGAAUGAGGCCGGUUGCAUGCUGUUCAACUAGGCAAAGUUCAGUGGUAGCUGGGCUGCACUGAUGUGCUUAAUCAAGUGACUACGUAAAGGUAUUCCCAUGUCAAGACAGAACAGCUAGAAUUAUGAUAAAGAGUCAGAAAGAUAAUAUUUAGGUGGGGGUCCCUCUUCAGAUAGACUCUGAUCAGGGAACACAUUCACAGGGAAGGUGAUAAAGGAGGCUUCUGACUUGUAAGUAGUUAAAGAGUGAUUUGACAUUCCCAAACCACCCACAGUUUUGGAUUAGUGGAGGAAAUGAAUAGUAUUAAAGAGUUUAAAGGGCCUGUCCCACUUGGCGAUUAUUUCAGCGACUGCAGGCAUCAUUGACUGACGUACCAUAUCACCACAAAAUACGCGGCGUGACAUGGCGUGAUGACGUAUGACGCGGCGGUGAUGCGGCGUGAUGAUGUAUGAUGCGCGGUCUUUUCUCAAGUGUCGCAACCACUUUUUUUGUCGCCGCUGGAUUUUGAAAUGUUCGAAAUCUUUUUGCGACACUGAUAUGACGCCGGCAAAAAUCGGCAAGUGGGACAGGCCCUUAAUUAAAGCCUUGACUGAGACUGGACAGGAAUGGGUUAAGGUAUUCCCAGCCACUCCGAUGGUUCAGAACAACCCCAGCUAGAGAGACAGGGUUAAUGCCUUUUGAAUUGAUAACAGGACAAGCUAUAAAUCUACCAGAAGAUGACCCUCCUUGAAAUGAGGGUGAUCCCACGCUACCUACCCCUUGGGUUGCAACUAGUGUGGAAAUUACACCCACAGGCCCUCAGCGAUGAAUCAAUUACGUAUGCACAGCAAUUAACCCAUGCCUUGCCAGGUCUGCAUUCCCAGGUAGGAGAGGCACAGAAGCUACUAUCAGUUGAACUCAGGGACGAGUUCAUACUGUCAGACUAUGUGCUGAUAAGGUAAUUGGAUCAGAAGAAAUUAAGACUUUGUUGAAAGGGACUGUACCAAGUGCUACCAACAACAUCAACCGCCCUGAAGAUUGAAGAUCACCCCCGUUGGUACAUCUGAUUGACUGUAAACGGAUCGGAGAACCAAGAAAAGACAAUGGGGCUAUUGACCCUUCUUUUUAUUCUGGGGUUGGCCCAGAUGGACUGUCUUGGGGAAAUAAUUUGUUUCUGUCUAUGAGUUUUGAAUUUUCCCUUUGUGAUAAUAUAAGUGUAUGCUGGGUGUGUGCACACAUCCAUAUAAUGGUGGAGGAGGAAUACCCCUCUUGACAAUACCCCUUAAUUUUACUGAGAUUCUGGCCUUACUCUGUUUUCGCAGUAAAACAGCAACUAAUGGAUGCCUUCAGAAUGGCAAACUUGAGGACUAACCCACAUUGAAAGGAUGGUAUGGUAUACAGCCUCUUUCAAGCCGGGAUGGAAAGUAAAUGAGAUCAGAGCUUGGGAAAUGCCACAGCUUAAAUUAGUGGAUUGCCCCCACAGCCCAGUUAAUACCACCAGUUACUGUGACAAAAGAGGCAACGGGGUAUACUUAGGGAACAGCACCUGCACUAAAGUUAGUGUUAGUGGCCCGCCACGUCCAAUAAAUGGGACGUAUUUUGUGUGUGGAUCCUGGGCAUACCCAAGGUUACCUGGUAUGCCCCCGUGGGGAUGAGAAGAAUUAGGAAAGGUUGAUCAGGCCAACCUACAACUGAAGGGGAUGCAGUUAUUUGCCCUUUGCUGUCCCUCACAUGCGAGCUGUGUAACAUUUAACUGAAUUGUAUUUCCCCAUGAGGGCUAAGUGAAGUAUAUCGAAGUCAGAGCGAUUCUGGAUGAUUGACUUCCCGCAUUACGGGACAGCCCGCCUAUCGCGGGAAUCGAUUAAUACGGUCGCUGUAUUGGAGAAAUUGGUUAAUGAAACUGCGGACGCCUUUACCUACACGCAAAAGGCCCUGUCAUCCAAAACAGCUGAAAUGGUUGCACUUUGAACUAUAGCCCUGCA